rnacentral:tRNA from 1 species
UGCAUCGGCCGGGAAUCAAACUUGGGGCGCCCGCGUGGCAGGCGAGCAUUCUACCACUGAACCAAAAGC